rnacentral:rRNA from 1 species
GGCUCAGAACGAACGCUGGCGGCAGGCCUAACACAUGCAAGUCGAGCGCGCCUUUCGGGGUGAGCGGCGGACGGGUUAGUAACGCGUGGGAAUAUACCCUUUUCUACGGAAUAGCCUCUGGAAACGGAGAGUAAUACCGUAUGAGCCCUUCGGGGGAAAGAUUUAUCGGGAAAGGAUUAGCCCGCGUUAGAUUAGGUAGUUGGUGGGGUAAUGGCCUACCAAGCCUACGAUCUAUAGCUGGUUUUAGAGGAUGAUCAGCAACACUGGGACUGAGACACGGCCCAGACUCCUACGGGAGGCAGCAGUGGGGAAUCUUGGACAAUGGGGGCAACCCUGAUCCAGCCAUGCCGCGUGAGUGAUGAAGGCCUUAGGGUCGUAAAGCUCUUUCGCCUGUGAAGAUAAUGACGGUAGCAGGUAAAGAAACCCCGGCUAACUCCGUGCCAGCAGCCGCGGUAAUACGGAGGGGGUUAGCGUUGUUCGGAAUUACUGGGCGUAAAGCGCACGUAGGCGGACUGGAAAGUUGGGGGUGAAAUCCCAGGGCUCAACCCUGGAACUGCCUCCAAAACUAUCAGUCUAGAGUUCGAGAGAGGUGAGUGGAAUUCCGAGUGUAGAGGUGAAAUUUGUAGAUAUUCGGAGGAACACCAGUGGCGAAGGCGGCUCACUGGCUCGAUACUGACGCUGAGGUGCGAAAGUGUGGGGAGCAAACAGGAUUAGAUACCCUGGUAGUCCACACCGUAAAACGAUGAAUGCCAGUCGUCGGGUAGCAUGCUAUUCGGUGACACACCUAACGGAUUAAGCA